AGAGAUAUAGCUCAGUUGGUAGAGUGCUUGCCUUGCAUGCUUAAGGCCCUGGGUUCAAUCCCCAGCACUGCCA
rnacentral:tRNA from 1 species